CUGUUUUGUAAUCCCCAUGUCAGCCUUGUCUACUCAUCAUCUAUUUGUGUCUUGUGCUCUCUGACAAUACUGUUAUGUGAAGAAAACUAAACUAAAUUGAAUUGUUUGAAUUCAACAGGCACUAACCAGAGGAAGCUACAAACGCCUACAGUGCUUUGCUCAUACCUUACAGUUGGCUAUAGGAGAUGGCCUUAAGGAAGCUAAGGUUGCAAGAAGUGCCAUGGCAAAAUGCUGCAAACUCAGUUCUCUUCUGCACUCAUCUACCUCCUUCCGAGAUGCAUUUGAAAAUAAGUUUGGCGAGAAAGGGAUCCCUGCUGCUGUGAACACACGAUGGGGUUCAACCAACGUCAACUGAAAGCAGUGCUCUCGUUUGACCAGCAGGAACUGAGCGAUGUUAUGCAGGACACAGGUCACCAGGAGCUGAUCUUCUCUGCGAGAGAGUGGAAUCAGCUGAAAGAACUGUGUGAUAUCCUCAAGUCCUUUUCAGAAGCCACUGAUCUCACACAGGGUGAGAAGUCUGUGACUAUCAGCGCCGUUCUUCCUAGUGUGUUGUCCCUAAACAACCACCUGGAGAAACUCAAGCAGAAGGUUGGUUAUUGUUACACACACACACACACACACACACACACACUCUAAUUUAUUUAUUUGUUCAGGUUCAGUUACUGGGAGGCGUGGUCAGGUGCCUUCAGAUCUCCCUCAAAACAAGAUUCCGUGGGAUCCUGGUCAAUGUGAAAAUGGAAACUGCAGCGCCAGACGAACCACAGCCUCUACCUUUUGCAGACCCCCUGUAUAUUAGAGCAGCUGUCCUGGACCCAGAAUACUCUAUAAUGUGGCUGAAACAAGACGUCCUUGUCAACGAUGAUGUCAAGAGGGAGGUGUCUGACAUGGUGAAAGGUCAGUGAAUGUACAUAAUGUGCUUGAAUACACACCACAAGUAUGGCACUGUAUAAAUAUACGCACACCACUUAUUCUCUUCUCAAACAAACUUAGUUCACAGUGUUAUUGUCUGUGUCGGUGAUCAAAUUAUGAUCACAAAACUAGAAAUAUCAGUUAAAUGUAAAGAAUAUUUCAUGCUAUAUUAAGUGAUAAUUUGUUGUCCAUUAGAACUGAUCCUACGGGAGGUGCCAGCUGACCAGACACCUGAGACUCCAGAGGGAGAGGAGGAGCUGUUGGAGGAGGAAGGGGUUGGGCUCUACGCAGGAUACAAGAAGCGCCGCAAGCGGGACACAAUGACACCAGAAGCUCAGCUGAACAACUACCUUAGCCUUGAUACUGAUCAGACUUGUCUCACAUUUUGGGAGGCAAAUAAAAACUCCCUCCCUGCACUUUAUAAGAUUGCCAUUAGAGCACUUGCAGUGCCCGCAACUAGUGCGCCAGUCGAGAGAGUCUUUAGCCACGGUGGCAUCAUUUUGAGACCACAUCAUUCUCGCAUGAAGGGCGGCACCCUCUCAAACCUUGUGUUUCUCAAGUGCAACAAUCUGUGAAUGUACUGUAUGUAACAGAGCCACUACUUGACUCUGUAACAUAGAGGGUUAGGUUGCACAAAUAAUUUUACUUUGGAAAGGUUGAAUUUACCCAGCUCUUAUUUCUUUUAUAACGCUUAUCUUUAAAAUAUGUUGAUAUCUCUUUAGAAUUUUCUGACAAAAUAAUACUCAUAGUGGAGUGACUGUCAGUCCAUGCAAACAUCUUGACAAAAGAUGAAUCCCUUAAAUGGAUGGUCCUUUAUUUUAAGUUAUGUUUAUAUUUAAGCUCCUGCUCUGUGCUGUUUAGUUUACAUUGCACUUUGUUUGCACUGAUCAUAAUUUUGUUUGCCUUUGUAAAGGUAGCUACCUCGAAUGUAAAACAAAAAGAUUGCAAUUUAAAUGUUGCAAAUGUACCAAAUAAACAUUUUUUUUGUGUCAAACAUGCCAUUUCUUUAAUGGAAUGUAGCCUAGCCUUUGCCAUCUACCUAGGUCUAAAUGAUCAAACAUGUAAUGGAUAAAUGUAUAGCUUUUAAGCUUUAUGCUGGUGUAAUCCAUGCAGAGUUGCAGACUAAUCUGCAUGGUAUU
ensembl:lncRNA